rnacentral:rRNA from 1 species
AGGACGAACGCUGGCGGCGUGCUUAACACAUGCAAGUCGAGCGAGGCCCUCCCUUCGGGGAGGUGUCCUAGCGGCGAACGGGUGAGUAACACGUGGGCAACCUGCCCUCAGCUCUGGGAUAACCCCGGGAAACCGGAGCUAAUACCGGAUACGACCUCGGAAGACAUCUUCCGAGGUGGAAAGAAUUUCGGCUGAGGAUGGGCCCGCGGCCUAUCAGCUUGUUGGUGGGGUAACGGCCCACCAAGGCGACGAC